rnacentral:rRNA from 1 species
AGAGUUUGAUCCUGGCUCAGGACGAACGCUGGCGGCGUGCCUAAUACAUGCAAGUAGAACGCUGACUACUUUAGCUUGCUAGAGUAGAAGGAGUUGCGAACGGGUGAGUAACGCGUAGGUAACCUGCCUACUAGCGGGGGAUAACUAUUGGAAACGAUAGCUAAUACCGCAUAACAGUGUUUAACACAUGUUAGAUGCUUGAAAGAUGCAAAUGCAUCACUAGUAGAUGGACCUGCGUUGUAUUAGCUAGUUGGUGGGGUAACGGCCUACCAAGGCGACGAUACAUAGCCGACCUGAGAGGGUGAUCGGCCACACUGGGACUGAGACACGGCCCAGACUCCUACGGGAGGCAGCAGUAGGGAAUCUUCGGCAAUGGGGGCAACCCUGACCGAGCAACGCCGCGUGAGUGAAGAAGGUUUUCGGAUCGUAAAGCUCUGUUGUAAGAGAAGAACGUGUGUGAGAGUGGAAAGUUCACACAGUGACGGUAACUUACCAGAAAGGGACGGCUAACUACGUGCCAGCAGCCGCGGUAAUACGUAGGUCCCGAGCGUUGUCCGGAUUUAUUGGGCGUAAAGCGAGCGCAGGCGGUUUAAUAAGUCUGAAGUUAAAGGCAGUGGCUUAACCAUUGUUCGCUUUGGAAACUGUUAAACUUGAGUGCAGAAGGGGAGAGUGGAAUUCCAUGUGUAGCGGUGAAAUGCGUAGAUAUAUGGAGGAACACCGGUGGCGAAAGCGGCUCUCUGGUCUGUAACUGACGCUGAGGCUCGAAAGCGUGGGGAGCAAACAGGAUUAGAUACCCUGGUAGUCCACGCCGUAAACGAUGAGUGCUAGGUGUUAGGCCCUUUCGGGGGCUUAGUGCCGCAGCUAACGCAUUAAGCACUCCG